ACAAAUAUUCACCAAAAGGAAAGGCCAACAUCACAGCUAUAACACAUCAACAACCGGGAAACAAAGAAAAUGUGCACAUCCAAUGUCACCAACCCGUUGAUUCCGAUGGGGAACAUGCUUGGUAGUCAACGGGAGGCCUCCUUUAAUGAACACAAACAGGCUUAUGUGAGUUCAGAGUAGCUCAGAUUCGGAAUGGACUAUGCUAGCUUGGUUUAGGCAUUUUGACAAACAUAUGGCAGUCAGUUCGGGUACACAAUACAGAGACGGGUUUGCACAAGUUUGGUUCAAGCAUUUCUUCGAGCAUGUGGUGGGCACCGUAACCGAGGCGAUUGAGGCUCGAGCUUGCAACGACAUUCAGCACAAAUCAGUAAAUAAACACAUCACCGAGACUGAGCAAGGCUC
rnacentral:lncRNA from 1 species